UUGCUCUAAGGAUCCGUCUGAAUCAGAGAUGCAGCCACAGAAACGCUUGAAAUGCAGCCAUUUUCAGGACAUCCCUUGACGAGGAGGAACCGGCGAGGAAAAUGCGUGAUAUGCACCCAAAUCUUCCCAUAACAUCUCUUGGUGCUGGGAACAAAUUACUUUGGCAGUGCUGAUUCUGGUUUGCUGGAACCGGUAAAUAUUCUGUAGUGCUGAUUCUAUUUUGCUAGAAAAUAUUCUGAUAGUGCUGAUUCUGGUUUGCUGGAACUGGAAAUUAUUAUGGCAGUGCACUGAUUCUGAUUUUCUGGAAUUUAUUAUAGCAGAGUUUUGGGGCAAAAUAGCCCUUUCUUGUAAAAGUACAUAAGUUUUGGCCCCAUUGCGAAGUUUAUGUUCAAAGUA